GGCGCGCUCCCGGGCUCGCCGAGACUCGCGCUCUCCCGGGACUGGCUCCCGUCGCUGCAAGCCGCGACUUGCCGCCGGUGUCCCCGAGGGCACGCAGCUGGAACUCGAACGCGCUGGAACCGACUCCAGCGAGCCAGCCCCUCCCGGAGGCAUUCCUCGCAGCCCGGGCCAGGUGACCACCCCCGCGAGCUCGCGCAUGCCUUGAAUCAACCAGGUCGCCCAGGGUUUAUUUCAGGUCACUUGGUCAUCCCCAGCCUCCAGGUUACCCCGCCAGGAAGUGCACAAGGGAGAGAUCCAACCCCAGACUUAAUUCCUCUUCCCACCCCACCCGGCUCUGGCAAGAAGGGAAGAGAGACGUGGAGCGUGAGGCUCUGCCAAGGACUGAGAGCAGACUCCCUCCAGCCUCCAUCCCACCCUCCAGAAGGAUGAGCCAAGGCCAGGCCAUCGCCCUCAUCUGUUCCCAGGACUCCACCACGGUGACCUUUUCUUCCCAUCUUCCACGUCUAUAAAGAUGGGACAGAAAUCCCAGCUUGGGAGAGACAGGCCCUUCCCACCAGCCGCGCCAGGCCUGCAGAGAGGGCUGAAGUCUAGAGACCCCACCGCCGCGCUCUGGCGGUCUGCACUCAUCUGUGAUCCUCGGAGCCGCCUAGUGGCUCAGAUAGGACACUGCGCCUCCAAGCGGCCCCAGCCUCCGGCUGCCUAGGGUCCUGCUAACUCGAUUUACUUCCAGGCCUUUCUCCCAGCGUGGGAUUAACACCCCAAGGCUGGGAGGCCCUGUGGAGGUCCUAGCCGCUGCCCCCACUGUUUCAUGGGGAGGACACUAAAGCGCAGAGGUAGCCGGCAACUCAUUCUCAGAGAAGCAGGUUCACCCCAGCAGCCAUCCCAUCCUGUUCGGAUGCCUGACCAGCUGGCGGGUCCCUAGGUCACACUUUCGUGUCUCUUGGGUGGGACUUCAGGAUGGAGGCCGGGCCGGGAUGGGAAGGAGACAGGAACCCAAAUGGACCUUCACAAAGGCAGGGUCCAUCUCGUUGAAUUUCCUUUUUUUUUUUUUUUGGUUUUUCUCCGGUAUCGGGAACUGAACUCACGACCUUGCGCUUGCCAGGCUGGCGCUUUUGCCGCUGAGCUAAAUCCCCAGCCCCCAUCUCGUUGAAUUUCCUUACCAGCCUGGGAGGUGGGCAUCCAUUCGAUACAGGAGGAAACAGAGGCCUAGCCAAUCCGAAUGACUCCUGCGAGGCCAUACAGGGGGCUCCCCGUUUUGUUUGGGGUUAAAUCGGAGGAAGAAGGAACACCGUCAGGCAAUUCCAACAAGGACCGGCAGAUCUGGAGCUGGCCUGGGGUAGACAGUGCCCUUGUUUCUACUUGGUCCACCUUCAGGAUGUGGUUUUGUGGGCCGGGCACCCCUGCGAGCCUGGGGCUCUUCUCCAACUUCAGCUGCCCAGAGAGGGGCUGUCGCAGCCUCCACUGCCGUCCAGAAAAGCCCCGGAGAAGAGAGUGGAGGUGCUGGGCGGGGUCCCCUGAGGGUCUCUGUGGCCUGGCUGCAGUGACGGCUGCAUGGGACACGUCCUUCCCUACCCCUCUCUCCCACCCUUUAUCCUUUGCCCUUGGUGCCCCUCCUAUCUGUUUCUUGGGGCAGGAGAUGUGGGAUUGAACUCCAGGGUGAAGUUUGAAAUUUCACAUCCCAAGCUGGGAGGAGGCCCCUCAAUGUGUUCACUCCCCCCCCUGAAACCUUGAAAGGAGCUUUUGUGAACGGGAGGGGAGAGGUGCGCGGCAGCCUGGAGAGCUAACUUUUUCCAUGACUCAGCCUUGCCGGGCAGCAUGGCCAGGGAGGUUCGAGGGCCCGGCUCAUGGCUGAGCAGCCUUCCAGCUUUUGUGCAUGGAGGGAGGAAGCGGCCAUGGGGCGAGACGGAGCCAGCCCAGAGAUCUGGUCCUGCACGGCCCUUAGGCUCUAGCGGCUCCCUGACCGCUGCUGCUGGUUCCAUCCCAGCACCAAGAACUUGAAAGCUCAUGUGUUGUCCUUUACAAAGCACUUUUGUCACUACCAUUGCAGCUGAUGGCUGGGACCCCAAAGCCGAGUGUUAAAAACAUGAGCCUCAAGCUCUGCCUUCUACCUAGCCUUGCAGAAGUUAAGAAAGUCACUCCUCCAAGACAGAGCAGCUAUGAAGAGGUAGUGGGAUUUGAACCUGUGGCAGGCGCUGUGCCGCUGAGCUAAAUCCCCAGCCCCCACUGAUGUCUUUCAAAACAUACAGACCUCAGACCACUGGAAGAGGAUCCACCAAGGAGCUGGUCCGAGACUUCAGAACAGUGUCCUCGGAUGGGGGACCAGGAAUCUGGAUGCAGGCCAGGCAGGGAAAAAGUGAAGUCCCUGAAGCCACGCCUCAGGAGCAGAGGCCGUGAGACAUGUCUUAAAGGUGUGUCUUCAUUCACUUGUCGCAUAGUUAGCAGGCGCUGAGAGUCAGGGAUUCUCUUUUAGAUGCCGAGGAGCUGGCAGGGGAACGAGAAGCAAGCCCUGGCCUCACCAGCUGGCCUCCUCCGCUGUCAGGCGGAGCGCACUGCCAGGCCACGGAAAAGGAGGGGUGAGGUGGGGGGGCGGGGAUGGAGCAGGUGCGGCGUGCUGCGCGUGGGAGCGCAGCUGUCUCACGCAGUGUGGUUGGGGAGGCCUCUCAGAGGUGAAGUUUGAGUAGAGACCCGAGUGAGUGGGAGUGACCCUGACGACCUUGGUGAGGGAGGUCCUCCUGGGGGGACGGAAGUCCCAAGGCAGGGCAUGCUUGGGGGCUGGAGCAGCAGGCAGGAUGGGGAGGCAGGAGCCCAUGAGGAAGUGGGUGGGGUGGGACAGGAGGAGGGUAGGGUUAGCUCUUCGGGGGGCCCCUUGGCCUAUGACAUCAGCAUCACCUGAACAGCAUUAGAAAUGUAGGCUCCCAGGACUGUAUUUUAUCCGGCAAGAGCUCCAGGAGCUCCAGUGCUCAUGGAAGAGUUAGAACUGCCAGAUCGGGUGUCCACGGUGUGCCUGGAGCCAUUGGGAGGGGCGUCAAGUGAGCGGAGGGAAGAUGGGAUGGGACCUACAUCUUUGAAGCCUGUGUGUUCGCUGUCUGCAGCGUGGAUAUGGGGCUGCGCAGGCCAGGAACGGCGCCCAAGCUGCCAGGGCCAUGAUACAUGGACUUGGAGCCCCAGAGCCUAGCUCAGGGACCUCCCAGGGAUCCCCUUGCUCUUAAGGACCCAAGAGUCCAAACUAGUGCUGAACACUGGGCCACUCUGUCACCCCCUGCACUUCCCCCCCAGCUCUUAUUUUUUGGGGACUACUGAGGAUUCAACCCAGGUCUUGGUGCGUGCUAGGCAAGCCCUGUAUUGCUGAACUAUACCAUCAACCCCGCUCCCGGGGCUCUGAAAAAGGGUUUUAAUACCAGUAAUUUUGAUACCCUCAACACCUACGUGAGUGUACACACACACACACACACCUGAUCACACAUGGACACGCAUAGCUUUAUCUGAGGACUGGCCUCUUUCCCCUGAGCAGAACAAGCUGGUGGAAAGUGUUACACAAGGUUUAAAGUGGGCAGUCUUUGCGGGUCUUUGCAGGGAUGGAUAGUGGGGGCCAUGUGAGCUGGAACUGCUUGGUGGCCUGCCUGGCUCAAGAAAGCAGACAAGAAGACAGGCUUCAGAUGGGCAGAAACUGCUGUGAUGUGGGCACUUGGGCACCCGGGUACCCAGGAAAGCUGAUCUGCAAAGCCCAGAGACAAUUUAAGAUCACUGUAAGAUACUUCCUCUUCCUAACACAGAAUAUGUGGCAUGAAGGCCCCCUUUCCGUUUGGCUAAGUUUGGCCAAGAGGAUGGGAUGCAUACAGGGAAGGCAGAAUGGUUCCCUUUGGAACCAUUCCUGCUAUACACACACACACACACACACACACACACACACACACACAUUUUUCCUUGCAUUGUGUCUUCCAUCCCUCAUGGGCACAGGCUGAGGCUCUCUCUUCCGGGGUCCUGGAGCUCUGGGUGAGUGGACGCUGAGCUGAUUGUGUUUAUUCUGGCUGCCAGGGUUGGGUGAAAACACAGCCUGGAGCUGAGACUGGGAACGUGGCAGGAACACACAUGUGUGGGACAUGUGUUUUUGUGGGGUUCUGAGCACAGUAACGGGCCCAGACUGUAGCUGUGUCACCUGACAUAGCUUGGGCCGAGAUCACAAGGCACCUAGUGGCCCUCACCCGUCUCCUGCCCCUGGGUCAGUCAAAUAAUUCUAAACCAGGGUGAGGUUUGGAGUUGGCAAGAAAUUCAAGCUGUGCUGCUUACUAGGCAGAUGACUGACCUCUCAGAGCCCCGGUUUUGUCAUCCCAAAGGUAGAAAUGUGACCUCUAUUGGAAUGAUGUCUUGGAAUGGCCUGGUCCAGGGCCUGGCAGGGGAGGAUGCUCAGUGGUUUUGGGGUCCUUCCCCCGGGCUUUGUGUCCUGAGAGACCACACUCUGUGGCAAGGUGGAACCCGAGCGUAGAGGGGACACAGCUGGGGCAGUGGCAGUGCUAGGUCCUCUCCCCUCACCCUGAGUUGUGAGCCUUUUCUGCAGGGGCUUUGCGGGCCGUCCGGGUUCUGUUGCAACAAUCGCCUCUGCUGUUAUAGCCUGAAAGCCGCCAGGGAUGAUUCGCAGAUGAACGCGCGUGGCUGGGCUCCAGCAGAGUGCUGUGUACAGACGUUGGAAUGUGGAUUUCAUGCAACUGUCACACGCCACAAACUGUUCCGGUUUUGAUGGUUUUCCACCCAGUGAGACGUGUAAGAACCACCAUUUGACGUGCAGGCUGGCAGGAAAAGGCCAGAGUUGAUCCCUGGGGGGCUGUGGGUCAGGACUUCAAGUGGCCAAGAGACCUCAGACAGUCACAUCCUCAAUGGAGAGGUGCCCAGAUCGGAAUCUUCUUUCCUGUGGGCUUUCUGGAAAUCCAUUUAUAAGACUGACUCAAGUUCAUGUCCACUGUAAGACGUAAAGGGCCACUGAAGAGACUGAAUUUCAUUGAGAGGCUUUCAAAAAUCAGUGACCUGAGAGUCUGCUGUGGUUUGAAUGUCUUCACCCAAAUUCAUGUUGGUAUUUAAUCCCCAUUGCGAGGUACGAGAGGGUGAAACUUACUCUCACUAUGACGUGAGGAGGUGGGACCUUCAGGAGGUGAUUAAAGAUAAACAAGGCUGUAACGCAGGCCCCUAAUCCUGUGGGAGUGUGGUUUUAUAAGAAAAGAAGUCAGACAUGGUAUGUACAAGUCAUCCUGGCUACUUGAGAGGCUGAGACAGGAGGGUCACUUGAACCUAGGAGUUUGGGAUUAGCAUAGGUGACAUAGUGAGACUCCAUUUCCUGGAGGAGGAGGAAGGCAAAGGAGGAGAGGAUUUGCAGUCCCUCUGUCCGUGUGAGGCUCUGUGCUAAUUUGGGACUUGGUAGAGUGUCCCAUGGUCAGGAAGAACCUCACCAGAUAUGGCUACCUGAUCUUGACCUUCAGAUCCUGAGUCCAAUAAAUGUCUUUUCUUUACCAAGUCUGGAGUUUUCAGUUAUAGCAACAGAAAAUGGACUAAAACCAAGUCAAAUGGUGAUUCAAGUCUUCCCAACUCUCUGAGCUUUAUUCAGUGACUGCCAACUCCAGGUGCCAUUUCCAGCUCUUUAAGUCCAUGUCUUACUUCGACCUAACAGUACCAGGAAUCGAACUCACGACCUUGCACUUGCCAGGCAGGCGCUGUGCCGCUAAGCUAAAUCCCCAGCCCUUAAGUGGUGUUGAUGGGCCACAGAAGCAAACAGUCCAGUCCUCUGGAAGUUGAGAAUCUACAACAUCUGUCAGGUGCUUGCUGGGCUCCCAGCAGGCUGCCAGGAAGGAAACCCACAGCAGCAAAAACGAAAAACGUGUGACGUGGACAAUAGAUGACAUCGUUAAAAAUGCAGCCUAGAAAGCAAGGUAUAAUUGGGAAUUUAAUACUUUGGAAGAAUCACACUCAACUUUCCAUCACGAUAAUGAAAUGCCCGAGAUAGUAACUUAGAAAAGUGUGCUUUGGUUCGCGGUUUGGAGGUGCCAGGCAAAGACGAGGGGCUGAUGGCUCUGGGCCUCAGUGAGGGCAGCACGUCAUGACAUAGGGGUGCGCUCGAUGAGCCUGGAAGAAGCAAACUGGGACAGGAAGCAACCAGGAUCCCAUGAUCACCUUUAAGGGUGCAUCCCCAGCACCCUAAGGACCUGUCACCUUCCAAUAGCAGCAGCCUAGGCAUGAAGCCUUUCCCACACGGACCUUGGUGGGAGACUCCUCCAAACUAUAGCAGAAGUCCAUUUCCCCAUAUUCAUAGCAGGGAAAGUAUUAGGAUAUGAAAUGGAGUUACCAGUAUGAUCCCAUUUUUGGCAAAGUAAUACCUAAAGUACAAGUUUCUAUUUAUUUGUUUACCAUUGGGUUGGGAUUUAUUGUGCACAAGGCAGUACAGUAAAUUAAUAUUCUCAUUGUAAUCAAAACAACACCCUGGACGUAGGAGCCAUGGCCUGGUUUUACAGCUGUAGAACGAGAGGUUAAACAACCUGGGAAGCUCAUAAACUAGGAUGGACUUAGAAUGUGGCUCAGGUUUGCUUCAAAGCUCAUCCUUAUUGCUUUGGAGUUUGCUCCCUGCCCAGAAAGUUUGGAGUUUGCUCCCUGCCUCUGUCUUUGUGAACACACACACACACACACACACACACACACACACACACACACGCCUGCAUACAGGAAAAAUCAAUAAAGACUCACCAGAAUGCUAUGCUGCUUGUCUCUGGAUGAGAA